rnacentral:lncRNA from 1 species
AAAGUUAGGUACAGACUCCCGAGACACAGACCAAAGACUGAAAACAAGUCUAAAACACAAAAGAAAAGAACAUCUAGCUCCACUCAGGUUACAAGCCAUAAUCAAUAAAGAACAGAACUACUGAGUGAGCAAACGAUAAAAUAGCCGCAGUCGUUAUCAGGGGAGGAAACUGCCCCCACUGACAGGAGAUAUAUCAAGUGAAUCAGGCUAACUCCAGGACUAAAAGCUCAACCAGGGUCCGGCCACAUCAACGGAGGAGGAGCGCUUGUCAGGUGUUCCAGCUUUUGCACCAUAGGCGUUCCCUGACAUGAUCCGAGGAUAGCUUUUCCCACAGAGCAACGAAGUAGGCAGUUCUUCGCCAGAAAACCUGCAUGCCAGACCACAUUUUGCGGUUAAAGAUCAAGUCAUUUCUAAUGUUCCAGACGGCCCAAAGACCAGCCGCAUUGAUAAUAUUAUUAGCAGCAAAAUUUCUCCCUAUAGUCCAGCCAUCAGAGAUAGCAAGCAUAUUCACUUCACCUCUGAUGCUAGCAAUAUUGGAGAUAUUAUUCCAGAACUCUCUAGAAAUGUCAGAACCGAAAAAUAGAUGGUGGCAAGAUUCCACCAUCGAGCAAAAAGGACAUGUUUUGUCAGGCACAUUCUGCCUUUUGUUCAGAUUAUCUCUAGUUAAUAACUUGUUAUUAGCUAGAAGCCAAAGAAAAAUGUGAAUUCUAGCAGGGAUCUUAAUAGACCAAAUAGCAGGGGUAUUGCUAGGGAGCACUCUCUAAAAUUCACAAACUUGUAAAAGGAUUUGACAGUGUAAACCCCACUGGAAUUAAGGUUCCAAACCAGAGAGUCAUCCUCAGUAGUAAAAGUGAUGGAUUUAGCAAUCUCUAACAACUCACUCCAGAGAGACAUAAGCUCAUCUGAGAAACAUCUCCUGAAGGUGAUUUUUUGGUUAACACCAUCCCAAAUCUUAUCAAUGGUCACAUCAUGUUCAUUAGAGAUAUAGUACAAAUCCCAAUAGGCAGUGGACAGAGUGGAAGAACCAAACCAAUGAUCCUCCCAAAAUCUAAUUUUCUGACCAUUACCAACUUUCCAGGAGUAUCCUACCUUAGAGGCAUUAGCUGCCCAAAGGACCCCUUUCCAGAAAGGAGAUGCACCAGUAUCAGAGCAGGUAAAGAUGUUAGGGUUAUGAGUAUUGUACUUGGCAUCAAUAAUGCUUUUCCAAAUUUUCCCCUCAUCUCUCUGAUAUCUGUUCACCCAGGAAGCAAGAAGGCGAAGAUUCAUAUUAGCUAGGUCAGUGAUACCAAGACCCUCAAACUCUUUUCUUAAAGAAAGAGCCCCCCUUUUACUCAUUUGAAUAAACAAGCAAGGUGCACCUUUUGUAUCACACUAGUAAGAUGCCCGUGCGUUGCACGGAACAUCAAGAUUCAUUAGUUUAUAUUUUACAAAAUACUCCCUCUGUAAACUGAUAUAAGGCUGUUUAGAUUACUAAAGUAGUGAUCUAAACAGGCUUAUAUUAGUUUACAGAGGGAGUAAGUGUUGAGACUGACCCGUGCGGGUCAUCUGGUGUGUAACAAAUAUAUUUCUACGGAUAUUCAGUCCUACUCCACCCCCACCUUUUCAAUGAAAUGAAGCGCAAAGUCUUCUGCGUUUUCUCGAAAAAGUCCUACUCCCAAAUGGCAAAGAAAUUCAAAAGGCUAAAAUAUUGGCCUAACAUGCUCUAGUGUUUCAGUGGUGUGCAAAGUAAUAACAUUCAUAGUGCUUUGCAAAAAGAAAAAACAAUGCUUCAAAAAGCUUCAAAAAUUGUUCUUUCAGUGCCACACCUUUAGCUCUGCUCCAAACGGGCUCUACUUCAACGGCGCUUCCUCUCCACCUUGUGCUGCCUCCCUGUGCACGUGGUCUCCCAUUCCACAAAUCAUAGAUAUCUGAUCUGAGAGACUACUCUGUGUGAAUUAGUAAGAAUUCUUGCUUCACAACAGAUGAUUAAUACGUAACCAAUUCUGAAUAUAGAUGAAGAUUACAAAUUAAAAAAGGAUAAACAUAUGACCUAGGAAGGCCAGCUUUUACAAAUCACGGACAAUGAGGUCCCGUGCCAGCAGCACGCGCGCACACAGUAUAAUUCAUCAAAAAUUCCUACAGUUUGAGCCCGUUCCAAUGUUCUAAAAGGCUCCAAAAAGUGUUCCUGAAUGGAUUUCCAACAUAACAUUCCAAUAACAUGCAUAAUUGAAUUGUUGUUUCAACUUCUAAUUAGAAAGCACACCAAAAAGUGAAUAGUCCAAGCUAACAAACUGUUUUUUGCACACACAACACAUUUUCACAUAUCGAUACAACACCAGAUGGCAGAGUAUGCAGGAGACAUUUUAAAGCACAAAGAGGAUGGAUCAUAGCUUGCCAUCAUAUUCUUUCUUCAACAGAACUUCAGGAGCCAUAUAUGUCGUAGUUCCAACAGUUGAUUUUGGUUGAGAAUGAUGAACUAAUGUCUGUAUAAUAUAGAAAAAAAAAGGAUUGCAAAUCGGUUGAAAAUUUAGUAUCCAUUACAACUUCUGAUUAUUAUAAGAAACUGCAGUAAGAUGGUUCAUUUUUGUUGUCUAGAUUCUAGCAAUGCUAUAUAAGAACAUCCAACACAUAAGCACGCAAUCAGGUACCACCCAACCAGAUUAAUAGGAUGAAUACCUUAAAAUAACCAAAGUCACUUAUCUUCGGGCAAGGAGUGGUGCUUCCAUCCAGCAGAGUGCUCUCACUUUUAAGUAGCUAUGGCAUACCUACUUGGCAUAUACAACAUAUUGGUGUAAAUUGAACCGGAAAAUACAGAAAAAGGUAAAAUCAAGUAGUGUAACUGGGAUAAAAACUGAAACCAUUUAGAAUAUAAGACAAGGAGUAAGGUUAGCACAAAAAUAAUCAAAAGUUCGAAACACAAAAGCUAAUAGGAAUGUUAUACACAAUCUAACAAGAAUACAAUUUUCUUUCUCAAAAUACAGAAGAUAAUUCCUUUCAUCCCAAUGGCAGUUCUCCUAUUGCAUAGUAAGUCUCAUAACUCAUUUUAGUAGAGAAUAUGCUUAACUUAAGAGCUUAAGAGCUGAGAUUUAGAUCCAAAAUUGCACAUUGGAUAUUAAUGUAAAGAAGAUAAAGUAGAAAAACUUCUUGCUCAAUUAAAAAAAUCAGGAUGUUAAACAAACCAAAUCUUGCUUUAUUAGAGCCUAGAUAUAUAUUGCAUACAUAAACUUAGAAGUUUGUCUAAUUCACAUCUAGAUGUUUUUUAAGGAUGUCACAUCUAAGCUCCCACAAAUAUAUAAUGCAGCAGUAAGAAACAAAAAAAACUAGGACGAAAAAAAAUAGACCACAAACAGAGUGGACAUCAGUUUAGAUGUGACAUAACUAUGUCACAUCUAGAUGUGUCCUAGACAGACCCUAAACUUAGAUGGUUCCUUAUUUUGUGGGAGAACUAACGACUCGUCAACUCCUAAUUGGCUAGAUUUAACUCGGCACUUUCAGCUGCAAAACAGCGUGCAAUUCCUAAAUGUGUGCCAAAUUUAUUGGUAAGUAGUGACACUCUAAGCUGUCCCAAGCUUGUGUUGACAUGUACAAAAGUGCAGGUGUAACAUCAGAGAGCUUAUGUAUUCCAAAUGAAGCACAAUAACUUCCCACUGGAGCUUGAAAUUUAACUGUGACUCGCUAGGAAACCAGUGCAGGAACUAAGUAGUCAGAAUUUUUCAUUGAUCAUGGAUCAAUUGAAAAAUAUUCUACAAAAGAACUGUUGUCCAAGAGAAAGGUGUGCAAAGCUCUUCUAACUACGUUCCAAAGCAAAUUUAAGAAAAUUCAGCAGGUUAUUCCUAAUCAUUUUCAGUUUGGGGGUUAGAGACGUACCUAUCAAAGUAUAACUGACGGACAUUUUAUAGAACCAUACAAGGACCUGCAUCUUCCAGUUUUGAUGUCAACUUCACCGCAGUGGCGGAGGCAGGGGAGACCAGCAGNNN